CACGUAGGGGACGAGCGUUGUCCGGAUUCAUUGGGCGUAAAGCGCGCGUAGGCGGCUCGGAAAGUCGGUCGUGAAAUGCCGGGGCUCAACCCCGGGACUGCGUCCGAUACUUCCGGGCUGGAGGUAGGUAGGGGAGAUCGGAAUUCCUGGUGUAGCGGUGAAAUGCGCAGAUAUCAGGAGGAACACCGAUGGCGAAGGCAGGUCUCUGGGCCACUACUGACGCUGAGAAGCGAAAGCAUGGGGAGCGAACAGG
rnacentral:rRNA from 1 species